rnacentral:rRNA from 1 species
CGCGUAGGCGGGGAUACAAGUCAGAUGUGAAAUCUAUGGGCUUAACCCAUAAACUGCAUUUGAAACUGUAUCUCUUGAGUGUCGGAGAGGUAGACGGAAUUCCUAGUGUAGCGGUGAAAUGCGUAGAUAUUAGGAGGAACACCAGUGGCGAAGGCGGUCUACUGGACGAUAACUGACGCUGGGGCGCGAAAGCGUGGGGAGCAAACA